AAUGUUUUGGCAGAUUAAUGCAUUAAAUUUAGGUUUUAAAAAAGUAUAUUAGUAUACAUUCAUUA
rnacentral:tRNA from 1 species